rnacentral:rRNA from 1 species
CCUACGGGAGGCAGCAGUGGGGAAUAUUGCACAAUGGGGGAAACGCUGAUGCAGCGACGCCGCGUGAGUGAAGAAGUAUUUCGGUAUGUAAAGCUCUAUUAGCAGGGAAGAAGAAAGACGGUACCUGACUACGAAGCCCCGGCUAACUACGUGCCCGCAGGCGCGGUACUACGUAGGGGGCAAGCGUUAUCCGGAUUUACUGGGUGUAAAGGGAGCGUAGACGGAGAAGCAAGUCUGAAGUGAAAGCUCGUGGCUUAACCACGGGAGUGCUUUGGAAACUGUUUGACUAGAGUGCUGGAGAGGUAAGUGGAAUGCGUAGUGUAGCGGUGAAAUGCAUAGAUAUUAGGAGGAACACCAGUGGCGAAGGCAGCUUACUGGACAGUAACUGACGUUGAGGCUCGAAAGCGUGGGGAGCAAACAGGAUUAGAUACCCUUGUAGUC